GGGGAAUAUUGGGCAAUGGACGCACGUCUGACCCAGCAACGCCGCGUGGAGGAAGAAGUCCUUCGGGAUGUAAACUCAUUAAGCUAACGAAUAAGACGGAAGGGGAACCUUCCGGGAGACGGUAAUUAGUGAAAAGCCCCGGCUAACUACGUGCCAGCAGCCGCGGUAAUACGUAGGGGGCUAGCGUUAUCCGGAUUUACUGGGCGUAAAGGGUGCGUAGGUGGUUUCUUAAGUCAGGAGUGAAAGGCUACGGCUCAACCGUAGUAAGCUCUUGAAACUGGGAAACUUGAGUGCAGGAGAGGAAAGUGGAAUUCCUAGUGUAGCGGUGAAAUGCGUAGAUAUUAGGAGGAACACCAGUAGCGAAGGCGGCUUUCUGGACUGUAACUGACACUGAGGCACGAAAGCGUGGGGAGCAAACA
rnacentral:rRNA from 2 species